rnacentral:rRNA from 1 species
GACGAACGCUGGCGGCGUGCUUAACACAUGCAAGUCGAACGGGCCUUGUCCCCUUUUUUUUUGGGGGUGGGGUUAGUGGCGAACGGGUGAGUAACACGUGAGUAACCUGCCCCUCACUUCUGGAUAACCGCUUGAAAGGGUGGCUAAUACGGGGUGUUCUGGCCUGCUCGCAUGGGUGGGUUUGGAAAGAUUCGACCGGUUUUGGUUGUUUUGGGGGGGGAUGGGCUCGCGGCCUAUCAGCUUGUUGGGGGGGUGAUGGCCUGCCAAGGCUUUGACGGGUAGCCGGCCUGAGAGGGUGGGCGGUCACACUGAGACUGGGACACGGCCCAGACUCCUACGGGAGGCAGCAGUGGGGAAUAUUGCACAAUGGGCGCAAGCCUGAUGCAGCGACGCCGCGUGAGGGAUGGAGGCCUUCGGGUUGUGAACCUCUUUCGCCAGUGAAGAAGGUCCUGCUCUUUGUGGUGGGGUUGACGGUAGCUGGGUUAAUGAAGCGCCGGCUAACUACGUG